UUAAGUUCAGCGGGUAUCCCUACCCGAUCCGAGGUCAACCUGAAAAAAUUUGGGGUUGCUGGCAAGUAUCUUCACAGACCCUAUAGCGAGAAGAAUUACUACGCGUAGAGCUGAGGAGCACCGCCACUGAUUUUAAGGCCCGCCAGACGGCGAGGGCCCAACACCUAGCUGGGCUAGAUUGGUAUUAAUGACGCUCGAAC
rnacentral:misc_RNA from 1 species